CAAGGCGACGAUCCCUAGCUGGUCUGAGAGGAUGACCAGCCACACUGGAACUGAGACACGGUCCAGACUCCUACGGGAGGCAGCAGUGGGGAAUAUUGCACAAUGGGCGCAAGCCUGAUGCAGCCAUGCCGCGUGUAUGAAGAAGGCCUUCGGGUUGUAAAGUACUUUCAGCGGGGAGGAAGGUGUUGUGGUUAAUAACCGCAGCAAUUGACGUUACCCGCAGAAGAAGCACCGGCUAACUCCGUGCCAGCAGCCGCGGUAAUACGGAGGGUGCAAGCGUUAAUCGGAAUUACUGGGCGUA
rnacentral:rRNA from 1 species